UACGUAGGUGGCAAGCGUUGUUCGGAAUUAUUGGGCGUAAAGGGCGCGUAGGCGGUUCGGCAAGUCUUCAGUGAAAUCUCUGGGCUCAACUCAGAGUCUGCAGGCGAAACUGCCGUGCUGGAGUAUGGGAGAGGUGCGUGGAAUUCCCGGUGUAGCGGUGAAAUGCGUAGAUAUUGGGAGGAACACCAGUGGCGAAGGCGGCUCACUGGACCGGUACUGACGCUGAUGCGCGAAAGCGUGGGGAGCAAACGGG
rnacentral:rRNA from 1 species